rnacentral:rRNA from 1 species
AUACGGAGGGGGCGAGCGUUAUUCGGAAUUACUGGGCGUAAAGCGCACGUAGGCGGCGAAGCAAGUCGAAGGUGAAAGCCCUCGGCUCAACCGAGGAAUUGCCUUCGAAACUGCUUCGCUUGAGUCCGGGAGGGGGGAGCGGAAUUCCCAGUGUAGCGGUGAAAUGCGUAGAUACUGGGAGGAACACCGGUGGCGAAGGCGGCUCCCUGGACCGGUACUGACGCUGAGGUGCGAAAGCGUGGGUAGCAAACGGGAUUAGAAACCCUAGUAGUCC